CCCAGAUUAGGUAGUAACAACCAUUUGAGUCUGGGAUUUCUGAAUGGGGAAACCCACUUACAUAAGUAAGUAUCAUUAACUGAAUACAUAGGUUAAUGAGGCGAACCGGGGGAACUGAAACAUCUAAGUACCCCGAGGAAAAGAAAUCAACCGAGAUUCCGAAAGUAGCGGCGAGCGAAAUUGGACUAGCCCUUAAGCUUUACACGCGUUAGACGAACGGUCUGGAAAGUCCGACGAUACAGGGUGAUAGUCCCGUAGUUGACGACGUGUGUUCAGUGAAAUCGAGUAGGGCGGGACACGUGAUAUCCUGUCUGAAUAUGGGGGGACCAUCCUCCAAGGCUAAAUACUACUGACUGACCGAUAGUGAACCAGUACCGUGAGGGAAAGGCGAAAAGAACCCCUGUGAGGGGAGUGAAAUAGAACCUGAAACCGUGUACGUACAAGCAGUAGGAGCA
rnacentral:rRNA from 1 species